UAAGAAUCUUCCGCAAUGGGGGAAACCCUGACGGAGCGACGCCGCGUGGACGAAGAAGGCCGCAAGGUUGUAAAGUCCUUUUGCAGGCGAAGAAUAAGGAGGAGAGUGGAACGCUCCUCUGAUGACGUUAGCCUGCGAAUAAGCCCCGGCCAAUUACGUGCCAGCAGCCGCGGUAACACGUAUGGGGCGAGCGUUGUUCGGAAUUACUGGGCAUAAAGGGCGUGUAGGCGGUUCGGUAAGCCUGGCGUGAAAGGUAUCGGCUCAACCGGUAGACGGCGCUGGGAACUGUCGGACUGGAGUUCUGGAGGGGGAGCUGGAAUUCCUGGUGUAGGGGUGAAAUCUGUAGAGAUCAGGAAGAACACCGGUGGCGAAGGCGAGCUCCUGGCCAGUGACUGACGCUGAGGCGCGAAAGCGUGGGGAGCAAACAG
rnacentral:rRNA from 1 species